AAGACUACUUUCAGGGAUCAUUUCUAUAGUGCUUUACUAGAGAAGUGUCUCUGAACGUGUGGAGCACCCAAAACCACGGAGGAAGCGCGGUGUUCUCUCCCGAGCGUGAGGCUGGCUUUUGGUGUUGUUUUACAGCUGCCAGUAGCCGUUGAUGACCCUUCUUCUUUUCCUUUGGAAGAGAAAGAGGGGGAGAACACAGAGUGGC